UACGUAGGGCGCAAGCGUUGUCCGGAAUUAUUGGGCGUAAAGAGCUCGUAGGCGGUUUGUCGCGUCUGCUGUGAAAACCUAAGGCUCAACCUUGGGCUUGCAGUGGGUACGGGCAGACUAGAGUGCGGUAGGGGUGACUGGAAUUCCUGGUGUAGCGGUGGAAUGCGCAGAUAUCAGGAGGAACACCGAUGGCGAAGGCAGGUCACCUGGGC
rnacentral:rRNA from 1 species